rnacentral:rRNA from 1 species
GCAGUAAGGAAUAGUUGGGUCAAUUGUGGGCGCAAGCCCUGAACCAGCCAUGCCGCCGUGCAAGGAUUGUAGCGGCCCUAUGGGUUGUAAGACUAUCUUUUGUACCGGAAACAACACCAAACCGGUCGCGUAUCGUCUUUGCCCUUUAUGGUACCAGUAAGAAAUAAGCAUCGAGCUAACUCCGUGCCAGCAGCCGCGUGUAAUUAAUCCGGAGGAUGCCAAGCGUUUAUCCGCGAUUCAUUGGGUUUGAAAGGGUGCGCCAGGCGGAGUGAUAAAGUCAGUGUGUGAAAGCCUACAGCUUUAACUGUAGAACUGCCCUUGACCUACUGUCAUUCUUGAGUAUUGUUGAGGUAGGCAGGAACUCGGUGUCAUGUAGCGGUCGAAAUGCUUAGAUAUCGACACAGGAACUUUCGAUCGCGAAGGCAGCCGGUUACCAAGGAUUCAAUAACUGAUCGCUCAUGCACGAAAGCGUGGGGUCAUCAAACAGGAUUAGUAUACCCUGUGUAGUCCCACCGCCGUAAACGAUGAUCACUCGGAUGUUGGCGAUACACAGUCAGCGUCUUAGGGAAACUAUUAAGUGAUCCACCUGGGGAGUACGGUCGCAAGAUUGAAACUCAAAGGAAUUGACGGGGGCCCGCACCAAUGCGGAGGAGCAUGUGGUUUAAUUCUAUGAUACGGGGAGGAACCUUACCUGGGACUCUCGAACGUGAAUGACUGUCUCGGAAACCUCAUGAUCUUCUUCGGACAUUCUACAAGUUGCUGCAUGGUUGUCGUCAGCUCAUGACCGUGGAGGUAGUCAGGUUAAUUCCCAUAACGAGCGCCAACCCCUAUCUUUAGUUGCCAUCAGGUCAAGCUGGCGGACUCUAAAGAAACUGCCUACGCAAGUAGUGAGGAACGCCGGGGAUGACGUCAAAUCAGCACGGCCCUUUUCGUCCAGGGCCUACACACCUGCUACAAUGACCGGUACAGAGGGCAGCUACUGGGUGACCAGAUCCAAUAUCUCCAAAGCCGGUCUCAGUUCGGAUC